CCACCACCACCACCACCACCGUGUUCCUGUACAACAUUACACUACAUUACUGACAAGCCUCUGCUCUCUAAACAAUGAUGAGGCCACCACCUCCGAUGUUCAGCUUCUUCCCCUUCCCUCCUUUGAAGCGAGACUUCCUGAACCAGGAAUUCUGUUUGGAACAUGGAAAAGCAGGAAGACAAAAGUUGAGCAUCUUCACUUCACCCACCAGCAAAUCAAACAAUUGUCAACUGAAAAUGGACAAGUCUGAAGGUAACCAGAACCAGAACGUAUGUUGCCAACAUGUCAUUUAUUUACAACCUAUUGUCAUUGUACCGUACAUUUACCCAAUGAAGGUUUAA